CGGUGCGACGUGGUUAACUGGCCUGUGCGGGGGGCUGGCUCCCGCACGAAGCCCAUCGAGCAAAUAUCGCGACGAUUGGGGAUGCAACGCUCCCACUUCGCCGCUACUGAUCGGUGACAGAGAUAGAAAGAGGGGAUCUAGGCGUUUGCGAUGCGGAGGAUCCAAUCGACUUCUCCGGCGCUCGAUGCAGAGGAUCGGUCUUCUUCGGCGCUCGGUGCAGAGGAUCAGUGACAGAGGGGGUAUCCAGCGUUUCCGAUGCAGCCGACGAGGAGGAUCCAAUCAACGCGCGCACGCGGGCGACGCGGGCGAUCGAUCUACUGAAGCGAUCCAGCCAUGUCGCACGCCCUUCACGCCGGUUGUAUCCCGCCGGACUCUUCUACUCCUAUCCGUGGGGCAUGACAACUACUGUUGAUAUAUUCUACUUAUGAUUUGAGAACUGAAUUUAGUGAACACUUGCUGGCGAGCUUACCAUUCCAUCACAUCAAGACAAAUAUUGCCUCAUAUUGAUGCAACUUCCAACGCCUUUUUCCAAUUUCUGGUAAGUAGCUCCAGCCUCCAUGGCAUCUGAUGUACUCCUGCUUGAAAGGAUUGAUGGGGAGGUCGCAAUAAUAGGGAUAGUAAGAGUGUUUUGUUCCCGGAUAAGAUCUGUCAAGUUUCAGUU